GAAAGGGAGUGAUGUGGAGUGAAAAGUCCAGGGCUGUGUAGACAUCCAAUCUGCUCAGGUUUGAGUGACCUUCAGAUGUGGUCCUGAAAGAUCUGAUACGUGGGCUUCCGAUUCGUGGGUGAGGUGGUGUGGAACACAUUUUAAAGCACUUUUCUCC
rnacentral:lncRNA from 1 species